AUAAAAUAAAGGAAUAUAUUUGCCCUUACAGAGGUUACACGAGUCUUAAAGAAGAAAACUUUUGCCCGUCUCUCUGUUUGUGUUAAGAGUCGACUGUUAGGUGUGUCGGGGUAACUGUUAUAAGCACUAGGUUGGUCUGGCCACCCUGGUGUAUACAUGGAGAAGACUGUGUACUUUGUGACUGGUAGUGUUAAGAGCUGACUGUCAGGUAACUGUUGCGGAGACUCAACUGGUGUGGUCAUAUAAGUGUAGAGAGAAGACUGUUUGGCUCUCUGUUUACUGUUAACUGUCUACUCUGUGACUGGUAGUGUUAAGAGAUGACUGUUAGGUGUGUGAGGGUAACGUAACUGUUGCUGAGACUAGACUGGUAUGGUCAUAUAAGUGUAUAGAGAAGACUGUUUGGCUCUCUGUUUACUGUUAACGGUCUACUCUGUGCCUGCUAAUGUUAAGAGUUGACUGUUAGGUGUGUGGAGGUAACUGGUAACUGGCAGGGACUAGAUAGGUGUGGUCAUAUAACUAAGAACAUAAGAACAUAGGGAGACUGCAAGAGGCCGAGAGAAGACUGUUUGGCUCUCUGUUUACGGUUAACUGUCUUCUCUGUGACUGGUAGCGUUAAGAGUUGAUUGUUAGGUGUGUGGGGGUAACUGGUAACUUGCAGGGACUAGGUCGGUGUGGUCACAUAGAGGUAUAGAGAAGACUGUUUGACUGGUAGUGUUGGAAGUGACUCAGGUGUGUGUGUGUGUAGGUAACUCUUGCAAGGCCUCACAAAGGGAAGGUUCUACACAGCCUCCCUUGUGGUCACCGGGGCGAGGGCGAGGGUACAAUUAAUGUUUACUCUGUGACUGGUAGUGUUGGGAGUGGCUCAGGUGUGUGUGUGUAGGUAACUCUUGCAAGGCCUCACAAGGGAAGGUUCUACACAGCCUCCCUUGUGGUCACCGGGGCGAGGGCGAGGAUACACUUAAUGUUUACUCUGUGACUGGUAGUGUUGGGAGUGACUCAGGUGUGUGUGUGUGUAGGUAACUCUUGCAAGGCCUCACAAGGGAAGGUUCUACACAGCCUCCCUUGUGGUCACCGGGGCGAGGGCGAGGAUACACUUAAUCUCUGUGACUGGUAGUGUUGGAAGUGACUCAGGUGUGUGUGCGUAACUCUCGCAAGGCCUCACAAGGGAAGGUUCUGCCAGCGUUGCCAAAUCAUCGUACACACCGUAUUCCAUUUUCAUGGUUUCUGACUGACAUCUAUAGCAAAAACAAACAAAACAAACAUCAAUAAAUAGCAGUUUUAACGCUAACUUUAAUAUCCUUUCAUUAUUUCUGUAGGUACGAGAGUUUGAGGCUUAAAAAUGAUAAAUACAAUGUGGUGAAUACGAAAGUCUGGCAACACUGGGCGGGACGAGGGCGCUAGGAUACACUUGAGCAAAUGUACGAAGUAAUACCUGAACAUAGACAUUUGUACUCGACGAUAGUAAAAUUACAUGGAUAAAAUAAAGUACGGAUAAAAUCAACUACUAGAUAAAGUUAUGGUAUAUAUAUAGCUGGUAACUGAUAAGCUAAAUUCAUAAGGUUACUUGAAAUCACUUAGUAAAAUAGAACUAUAUAAAUGAUUACAUGAAUGAAUAGGGAAAAAUAUGGCAUAAAGUAUGGAUAAAAUUAGCUGCUAUAUAAAGUUAUGGUAUAUAUAUAACUAGUAACUGAUAAGCUAAAUUCAUAUGGUUAAUUGAAAUCACUUAGUAAAAUAGGACUAUAUGAAUGACUACAUGGAUGAAUAGGAAAAAAUAUGGUAUAAAGUAUGGAUAAAAUUAGCUACUAUAUAAAGUUAUGGUAUAUAUAUAACUAGUAACUGAUAAGCUAGAUUCAUAUGGUUAAUUGAAAUCACUUAGUAAAAUAGGAUUAUAUGAAUGACUACAUGGAUGAAUAGGAAAAAAAUAUGGGAUGUUUUAUACAACAACGAAAACAUCACACACCCAGACAAGUAUCAUAAAUCAAUGUCAUUUUUUCUAUAACAUGAGAGUAGAUGAAUGAUUGAAUGAAUGAAUUGGAAAAAAAAUAUAUGGGAUGAUUUAUACAACACAACCAAAACAUCACACACCCAGACACUUAUCAUAAAACAAAGCCAUUAUUCUGUAGCAUGAGAAUAGAUGAAUGACCGAAUGAAUGAA